rnacentral:rRNA from 1 species
UGCCCAAGAGAUCGGGAUAACACCUGGAAACAGAUGCUAAUACCGGAUAACAACAGAUGAUGCCUAUCAACUGUUUAAAAGAUGGUUCUGCUAUCACUCUUGGAUGGACCUGCGGUGCAUUAGCUAGUUGGUAGGGUAACGGCCUACCAAGGCGAUGAUGCAUAGCCGAGUUGAGAGACUGAUCGGCCACAUUGGGACUGAGACACGGCCCAAACUCCUACGGGAGGCAGCAGUA